UACGUAGGGUGCAAGCGUUGUCCGGAAUUACUGGGCGUAAAGAGUUCGUAGGCGGUUUGUCGCGUCGUUUGUGAAAACCAGCAGCUCAACUGCUGGCUUGCAGGCGAUACGGGCAGACUUGAGUACUGCAGGGGAGACUGGAAUUCCUGGUGUAGCGGUGAAAUGCGCAGAUAUCAGGAGGAACACCGGUGGCGAAGGCGGGUCUCUGGGCAGUAACUGACGCUGAGGAACGAAAGCGUAGGUAGCGAACAGG
rnacentral:rRNA from 1 species